AUGCAAGUCGAACGGUGAACACGGAGCUUGCUCUGUGGGAUCAGUGGCGAACGGGUGAGUAACACGUGAGCAACCUGCCCCUGACUCUGGGAUAAGCGCUGGAAACGGCGUCUAAUACUGGAUACGAACCAUGAAGGCAUCUUCAGUGGUUGGAAAGAUUUAUUGGUUGGGGAUGGGCUCGCGGCCUAUCAGCUUGUUGGUGAGGUAAUGGCUCACCAAGGCGUCGACGGGUAGCCGGCCUGAGAGGGUGACCGGCCACACUGGGACUGAGACACGGCCCAGACUCCUACGGGAGGCAGCAGUGGGGAAUAUUGCACAAUGGGCGCAAGCCUGAUGCAGCAACGCCGCGUGAGGGAUGACGGCCUUCGGGUUGUAAACCUCUUUUAGCAGGGAAGAAGCGAAAGUGACGGUACCUGCAGAAAAAGCGCCGGCUAACUACGUGCCAGCAGCCGCGGUAAUACGUAGGGCGCAAGCGUUAUCCGGAAUUAUUGGGCGUAAAGAGCUCGUAGGCGGUUUGUCGCGUCUGCUGUGAAAUCCGGAGGCUCAACCUCCGGCCUGCAGUGGGUACGGGCAGACUAGAGUGCGGUAGGGGAGAUUGGAAUUCCUGGUGUAGCGGUGGAAUGCGCAGAUAUCAGGAGGAACACCGAUGGCGAAGGCAGAUCUCUGGGCCGUAACUGACGCUGAGGAGCGAAAGGGUGGGGAGCAAACAGGCUUAGAUACCCUGGUAGUCCACCCCGUAAACGUUGGGAACUAGUUGUGGGGUCCAUUCCACGGAUUCCGUGACGCAGCUAACGCAUUAAGUUCCCCGCCU
rnacentral:rRNA from 1 species